rnacentral:rRNA from 1 species
AGAGUUUGAUCCUGGCUCAGGAUGAACGCUCGCGACAGGCUUAACACAUGCAAGUCGAGGGGCAGCGGGGGCGUAGCAAUAUGCCUGCCGGCGACCGGCGCACGGGUGAGUAACACGUAUGUAACCUGCCCUAUGCAGGGGGAUAACCCGGAGAAAUCCGGCCUAAUACCGCGUAACACCUUAGGGGAGCAUUCUCUUGAGGUUAAAGGAGAGAUCCGGCAUAGGAUGGACAUGCGUCGCAUUAGGUAGACGGCGGGGUAACGGCCCACCGUGCCGACGAUGCGUAGGGGUUCUGAGAGGAAGGCCCCCCACACUGGUACUGAGACACGGACCAGACUCCUACGGGAGGCAGCAGUGAGGAAUAUUGGUCAAUGGCCGAGAGGCUGAACCAGCCAAGUCGCGUGAGGGAAGAAUGUCCUAAGGAUUGUAAACCUCUUUUGUCGGGGAGCAAAAAGGCUCUGCGGAGUCGUAUUGAGAGUACCCGAAGAAAAAGCAUCGGCUAACUCCGUGCCAGCAGCCGCGGUAAUACGGAGGAUGCGAGCGUUAUCCGGAUUUAUUGGGUUUAAAGGGUGCGCAGGCGGCGUGUCAAGCGAGCGGUAAAAUAGCGGGGCUCAACCCCGUCGAGCCGUUUGAACUGGCGCGCUUGAGUUCAGGCGAGGUAGGCGGAAUUCGUGGUGUAGCGGUGAAAUGCAUAGAUAUCACGAAGAACUCCGAUUGCGAAGGCAGCUUACCAGUCUGCGACUGACGCUCAGGCACGAAAGUGUGGGUAUCGAACAGGAUUAGAUACCCUGGUAGUCCACACAGUAAACGAUGAGCGCUAGGUGUCCGGGUCGCAUGAGACUUGGGUGCCCGAGCGAAAGCGUUAAGCGCUCCACCUGGGGAGUACGCCGGCAACGGUGAAACUCAAAGGAAUUGACGGGGGCCCGCACAAGCGGAGGAACAUGUGGUUUAAUUCGAUGAUACGCGAGGAACCUUACCCGGGCUCAAACGACUCAGGAAUAUAUUGGAAACGAUGUAGCCAGCAAUGGUCUGAGUCGAGGUGCUGCAUGGUUGUCGUCAGCUCGUGCCGUGAGGUGUCGGCUUAAGUGCCAUAACGAGCGCAACCCCUACCGCCAGUUGCCAACGGGUAAAGCCGGGAACUCUGGCGGGACUGCCGGCGCAAGCUGUGAGGAAGGCGGGGAUGACGUCAAAUCAGCACGGCCCUUACGUCCGGGGCGACACACGUGUUACAAUGGCAGGUACAGCGGGAAGCCACCUGGUGACAGGGAGCGGAACCCGAAAGCCUGUCUCAGUUCGGAUUGGAGUCUGCAACUCGACUCCAUGAAGCUGGAUUCGCUAGUAAUCGCGCAUCAGCCAUGGCGCGGUGAAUACGUUCCCGGGCCUUGCACUCACCGCCCGUCAAG